AUGGUAAUCACGCAGCAAAGCCUAGUCGAUGUACGUUCAGAGAAACCUUAAUUAAGCGCCACUGACAUGGACCAGCCCCAGAGCGCACGCCACUCCACGCACGGUAAGAGUCACCACUGACAGCAGCAGGGAUUCAGGUGAUGUUACAGCAAUGUACCCCUCCGGGUUACCGCGGCCAGAGGCUGCGUUCAUGGCCUCUAGGAACAUAUAUACAAGGCUACACGAGUUAAGAUUGGCGGAUGUAUUGUUGUACUCAUUAAUUCUGCAGCUUUAUGCUACGUGUGUGAUCUUUCUCUUUGCUGUGCAAAACCAUCAUUGAUUAGUCUAUAUUUGAUAAACAUGUCAGGGUAUUCCCUCAAUUUCGAAAAAAAGGGUAUUAGGAGAUUAUAUUUAAUAAACAUGUCAGGGUCCCUGCUGUUACAAACAAACAACCAUGCAUGAUUCUCAGGAUUCCAUUAAUCCGUUUUAUUGAGAUCAUGUUUUGCCAUCUGCUUUAACCACAUCCACUUAGUUUCGUUUUCCAGAUCAUAUAUUUUUUAUUUAUUUUUUAUAAGAAGUAGAUCAUGUAUUCAUGUUUAGGUAUAACUGGAGAGAGAUAUAUACCUUUAAUUGAUCUCUUAUCUAUAGCCAUCAUAGGUAAUAUUCCCUGUUCUUUGGUCGGUUCAGAGGUGAAAAUAUGGCUCUACAUCGAGAUGUUCUUUUAUGCCAUCUCAAAAGCCUACUUGGGCAGACUAAAAUAUGGAGAAUAUCAUAUUAGGAACUGCAAUUGGAUUUCUAUGUACUUCACAAAGAUCUGUUCAUUUACAAUCAUCAAAAGUUUAUUGGAUACGUCUAAAGGUA
rnacentral:lncRNA from 1 species